rnacentral:rRNA from 1 species
CAUGCUAAAAAUCCCGACUUCGGAAGGGAUGUAUUUAUUAGAUUAAAAACCAAUGCCCUUCGGGGCUCACUGGUGAUUCAUGAUAACUCCUCGAAUCGCAUGGCCUUGUGCCGGCGAUGGUUCAUUCAAAUUUCUUCCCUAUCAACUUUCGAUGUUUGGGUAUUGGCCAAACAUGGUUGCAACGGGUAACGGAGGGUUAGGGCUCGACCCCGGAGAAGGAGCCUGAGAAACGGCUACUACAUCCAAGGAAGGCAGCAGGCGCGCAAAUUACCCAAUCCCGACACGGGGAGGUAGUGACAAUAAAUACUGAUACAGGGCUCUUUUGGGUCUUGUAAUUGGAAUGAGUACAAUUUAAAUCCCUUAACGAGGAACAAUUGGAGGGCAAGUCUGGUGCCAGCAGCCGCGGUAAUUCCAGCUCCAAUAGCGUAUAUUAAAGUUGUUGUGGUUAAAAAGCUCGUAGUUGAACCUUGGGCCUGGCCGUCCGGUCCGCCUCACCGCGUGUACUGGCUCGGCCGGGCCUUUCCCUCUGUGGAACCCCAUGCCCUUCACUGGGCGUGGCGGGGAAACAGGACUUUUACUGUGAAAAAAUUAGAGUGCUCCAGGCAGGCCUAUGCUCGAAUACAUUAGCAUGGAAUAAUAGAAUAGGACGUGUGGUUCUAUUUUGUUGGUUUCUAGGACCGCCGUAAUGAUUAAUAG